GACGAACGCUGGCGGCGUGCUUAACACAUGCAAGUCGAACGGAACGGCCCUGCUUUUGUGGGGUGCUCGAGUGGCGAACGGGUGAGUAACACGUGAGUAACCUGCACUUGACUUUGGGAUAACUUCAGGAAACUUGGGCUAAUACCGGCUAGGAGCUCCUGCUGCAUGGUGGGGGUUGGAAAGUUUCGGCGGUUGGGGAUGGACUGGCGGCUCAUCAGCUUGUUGGUGGGGUAGUGGCUUAGCAAGGCUUUGCCGGGUAGCCGGGCUGGGAGGGUGAGCGGCUCCGCUAGACUGGAGAUACGACCCAGACUACUCUGCGAGGGAGCGGUGCAGAAGAUUACAUUAUGGGCGGAGGCCUGACGUAGCACCGCAGCGUGGGGUAUGACAGGCAGCGGGUAGGAAUGCAAAGCCGCCUGAGACGAGGCGAGAGUGACGGUAACGGGUGAAGAAGCACCGGCUAACUACGUG
rnacentral:rRNA from 1 species